UGCCUAUUAUGGUCAUCUUCUUUCCAGAGG
rnacentral:piRNA from 1 species